rfam:Gemmobacter megaterium strain DSM 26375 genome assembly, contig: Ga0111664_106
UUCGGUGACCGGGCCCCUCUGGCGGAAGUGGCGGUGCUUUCGUGAUGUCGGCACCGCAA